rnacentral:rRNA from 1 species
AGUGGGGAAUAUUGCACAAUGGACGAAAGUCUGAUGCAGCAACGCCGCGUGGAGGAUGACACAUUUCGGUGCGUAAACUCCUUUUAUAUAGGAAGAUAAUGACGGUACUAUAUGAAUAAGCACCGGCUAACUCCGUGCCAGCAGCCGCGGUAAUACGGAGGGUGCAAGCGUUACUCGGAAUCACUGGGCGUAAAGAGCGUGUAGGCGGGUAUAUAAGUCAGAAGUGAAAUCCAAUAGCUUAACUAUUGAACUGCUUUUGAAACUGUAUACCUAGAAUGUGGGAGAGGUAGAUGGAAUUUCUGGUGUAGGGGUAAAAUCCGUAGAGAUCAGAAGGAAUACCGAUUGCGAAGGCGAUCUACUGGAACAUUAUUGACGCUGAGACGCGAAAGCGUGGGGAGCAAACAGGAUUAGAUACCCUGGUAGUCCACGCCCUAAACGAUGCACACUAGUUGUUGUGAGGCUAGACCUUGCAGUAAUGCAGUUAACACAUUAAGUGUGCCGCCUGGGGAGUACGGUCGCAAGAUUAAAACUCAAAGGAAUAGACGGGGACCCGCACAAGCGGUGGAGCAUGUGGUUUAAUUCGACGAUACACGAAGAACCUUACCUGGACUUGACAUAGUAAGAACUUUCUAGAGAUAGAUUGGUGUCUGCUUGCAGAAACUUAUAUACAGGUGCUGCACGGCUGUCGUCAGCUCGUGUCGUGAGAUGUUGGGUUAAGUCCCGCAACGAGCGCAACCCUCGUCAUUAGUUGCUAACAGUUCGGCUGAGAACUCUAAUGAGACUGCCUACGCAAGUAGGAGGAAGGUGAGGACGACGUCAAGUCAUCAUGGCCCUUACGUCCAGGGCUACACACGUGCUACAAUGGGGUAUACAAAGAGCAGCAAUACGGUGACGUGGAGCAAAUCUCAAAAAUAUCUCCCAGUUCGGAUUGUAGUCUGCAACUCGACUACAUGAAGUUGGAAUCGCUAGUAAUCGUAGAUCAGCUAUGCUACGGUGAAUACGUUCCCGGGUCUUGUACUCACCGCCCGUCACACCAUGGGAGUUGAACUCAUUCGAAGCGGGGAUGCUAAAAUAGCUACCUUCCACAGUGGAUUCAGCGACUGGGGUG